UGUACUACUACUACCAGCGGCACCCGGUGAACCUGCUGCUGCUGGCGCUGUUCACGGUGGCCAUCAGCUUCGCGGUAGGGCUCACCUGCGCCUUCACCAAGGGGGAGGUGAUCCUGGAGUCGGCGAUCCUGACGGCGGUGGUGGUGGUGAGCCUGACGGCGUACACGUUCUGGGCGGCUAGGCGCGGGCACGACUUCAGCUUCCUGGGCCCGUUCCUGUUCGCGGCGGUGAUGAUCCUCAUGGUGUUCGCGCUCAUCCAGGCCUUCUUCCC
rnacentral:lncRNA from 1 species